rnacentral:rRNA from 1 species
AACGAACGCUGGCGGCAGGCCUAACACAUGCAAGUCGAACGCCGUAGCAAUACGGAGUGGCAGACGGGUGAGUAACACGUGGGAACGUACCCUUCGGUUCGGGAUAACUCAGGGAAACUUGAGCUAAUACCGGAUACGUCCGAGAGGAGAAAGAUUUAUCGCCGAGGGAUCGGCCCGCGUCUGAUUAGCUUGUUGGUGAGGUAACGGCUCACCAAGGCGACGAUCAGUAGCUGGUCUGAGAGGAUGAUCAGCCACAUUGGGACUGAGACACGGCCCAAACUCCUACGGGAGGCAGCAGUGGGGAAUAUUGGACAAUGGGCGCAAGCCUGAUCCAGCCAUGCCGCGUGAGUGAU